rnacentral:lncRNA from 1 species
GCUGCUCAAAAGACUCAAAGGAAGGGGGUAGGCUGGGGGGAAGAGACUGUCUUAUCUCCUGUGUUUAUUUAUUGUGUCCUUUUGUUUAGAGGAAGUAGCGAGAAGAAAGGGGUCAUGAAAUUACACGCCUCUAAUGACAAAUGGUGAGGGGAAUGUGAGGUGGGGGGUUGCUAGGCCUGGACACCUAGAAUCUGAGCUUAGCUGCACCCCUUACUCUGAUUUGAGAACACGAUAAAGCUUCCGACCAUUUAAUUCAUUCCAGAUUUUGCUUUGUUUGUCCUGAGUUCAGUGCUGAAGACUCACACAUUUCCUGUCUUGAAAAGCUGUUAAUGUUUUGUGUAUAGUACAUGCACAACAUGAAUUGAGUAAGUGAAUGGAGGGGUG